rnacentral:rRNA from 1 species
UACGUAGGGGGCAAGCGUUGUCCGGAAUCAUUGGGCGUAAAGAGCGUGUAGGCGGCCAGGUAGGUCGGUUGUGAAAACUGGAGGCUCAACCUUCAGAGGUCGACCGAAACCAUCUGGCUAGAGUCCGGGAGAGGAGAGUGGAAUUCCUGGUGUAGCGGUGAAAUGCGCAGAUAUCAGGAAGAACACCCGUGGCGAAAGCGGCUCUCUGGAACGGUACUGACGCUGAGACGCGAAAGCUAGGGGAGCGAACGGG